rnacentral:rRNA from 1 species
GGAUUAGAUACCCUGGUAGUCCACGCCGUAAACGAUGGUCACUAGCUGUUUGGAAUUCGUUCUGAGUGGCUAAGCGAAAGUGAUAAGUGACCCACCUGGGGAGUACGUUCGCAAGAAUGAAACUCAAAGGAAUUGACGGGGGCCCGCACAAGCGGUGGAGCAUGUGGUUUAAUUCGAUGAUACGCGAGGAACCUUACCAGGGCUUAAAUGUAGUCUGACAGGUCUAGAGAUAGACUUUUCUUCGGACAGAUUACAAGGUGCUGCAUGGUUGUCGUCAGCUCGUGCCG